GCCGAACCCAAGAAUACCAGGCAGGAAAAGAACCAAAGUAUGAGCAAUGGUCAGAGACCACAGCCACCCAAGGCCUGUCUGUGCUGAGAGGCCAAACCUACUCCAUCUUUGGACCGGCCUCCAUCAUAAGGAAAAGAAAAGAGCCUGAGACUUGGAACACAGCUGAACCCAAGCUACACCCACAUACCAGAAAAGACACUACAGCUUGUCCUUGCCAGAGUUUCUCCCUAGCUACUUUCUCACCACAGUCAAUCAAAGAUUAUUCUGAUUAUUUCAGAUUUACUUUAGAUCAUUC
rnacentral:lncRNA from 1 species